GAGUUUAGCAUGUUUUGGGUGCUAUUGUAAUAAAAAUAAGUAAUAGCCACAGCUCAGAAAUAUUAGCUACUUCCUGAAAUUGGGGUAACUACAGUUAUUAUAAUAAUACCCGCUCUUUAGUUACCCAGUUUUAAAAUGUGUAUUUCAGAAAAGAUCUUCUUAGAUUUCCCAAUAUGUCAGGUACGUGCAUGCCAAUUAAGAAUUCUAAAUUUAAUCUGGAAUUCUUUUUGAAGCAAUGUGCAGGCCUACAGCAAUCAACAGGGACAAGAAGUAAAAAAAAAACAAAAAAAACCCAACCAAUUUGAUGGCCCAGUACCUUAUGAAAAUGCACAGCCAAAAAACUAUAAAAAAACAAACAAACCACAGUUCUGCUCAACAGGAAAUACUAACUUGUCUGCAAUGAUGUAGACAUCUUUCUCUUAAAUGUCCCCUGGGCUUGAGACAGCCAAAAAGCAGAACUGGAAGCUUUCAACUUGCUAAAAUAAAUUUUGCAGCACAGUGCAUAUUCUUUUCUCCGUUCAUUACUGGAUGCCUUGCACCCGCUACAAUGACCUGGAGGAUAAUGAUCGCGUUAUUGGUCACCACAAGACAGCCAGGGGCCCACGUCAGAACUUAACUAAUAGGUAGCACCUACAAGAACCAUGAUGAUCAGGAACGCACCCGGAAACACAUCUGGAAGACAAAGAGUUUAAACUCGGGAAGUUUGGUCCCGGGCUGGAAAAGAGUCCCAGUCUGUGUAUUGAGAAACUGUAACCUACUUGUACCAUCUGUCAAGUAAGUGUAUCGUACCAGCAAUAGGAAAAUCUUCAUUGUGCUCUGGAAAAAGAUAAGGCAUUUACCAACAUAAUUAUGAGGAAGUCCAUAGUGUUACUUGUUUCCAGGCAAUACAAGGUCUGAAACUCGCUAAAUGUAUUUAGCUAUUUUUUGACCCUCCAAAGUUAAUUUCACAUCACUUAAAUGCACACUUUAUUGCAUUAUAAAGAUGAUUUGAAGACUAAAGAGGAAACUGGCAAAAUAGCUUACAUAAAUAAAAUCCAUUAAUGUUUGUUGUUUCGUGUGUACUUAACUCCUCAGUUUACUCAUUCAGAAACCCUACCAAGCAGCAUCAGUCACUAUUUUGCAGCUUCAGAGUAUGAAAUAUUUAUACUGAAAUUAUUGACCUCAGUAAAAACGAUUUUUGCAAUCCAGGAUCUAUUUUUGCUUCGGACUGAAAGAAGUAUUUUCAAAAGGCUGAACUUUCUACUUCGUUCUUUUCAGGGAGCCAUGACAUUUACAUGGGAAGGCUAUGAGCUUUGAGUUUAGUGAUAGCCAAUAGGUGAGCAGGUGAUUUGUUUGAACAACUAUGGCUUGAGCCUACUCUCAUUGAAGUCAAUGGAAAAGCUCCCACUGACUUUAAUGGUUCAGGAGCAGGGUCCUAGAUGGUUGACUCCAUUUUCACCGACAGUGGGAUUAGGCUUUAAAAAAAAACUUUAUCGUGGGGAAGAAAGACCCCAAAGUUUGUAAAUGCUGGUGAGAAUGUUUUGCGGAUUUUUUGCUCUUUUCUUAUGAUAAGCUCUGUUCAUUGUGGGCCAGAAUUUGGCACAUUUAUUCCUGCUGAGUAGCAUCUUACACAACAAGUACUCAUUGACUGCAAUGGGAGAAUUCAGAGUAAGGGUGUCAGAAUCUGGCCAUGUCGGUUUAGAAUCUAAUUGUAUUUUCCUGUGAGCCAAAUAAGAGCUAGAUCCUGCUAACACUCAAGUUUGUGACUGAGUUGAAUGGGACCAUUUCUGUGUAUCAAGAUACUCACAUGUGCAAGUGAGGGCAAGAUCAGAGCCUAAGAAAAUAAUGUGUGCGCUCACAUGAGAGAAGAUUUUUUGUAAACUGAGAAGACCUUAGAGACUGCACUUCUGACAAUCAAGCCACUUACUCAAGCAUAUAAAUGUGGAUUUUGUGAGCCUCGCUUUAGGGAUACAUUUUGUAAAUCACAGCCCAUGAUAUUUUUUUUACACUUAAGUACAGUUAAGUAUUUUUCCGCAUGUAUCAUUGCCUAUGUAACUGAUUUCCCCCCCUAAACAAAAGGUUUAACGGAACACAUUAUGUUUUGUCAUACUUAUUUUAACUUACCUACAAAUAAAAAGCAUCUAGCCCAAGAUCUAGGUGCUUUGGAUAAACAAUAAAAAGUUCCAUGCAAACCAAUUACAAAUCCAGCAGCAUGUCCGCGCUCAUGAAGCCGAGAUUAACCAACCCAAAGAUCAGAUCUUAAAAAUAACCAGUAUUUCUUGGAGAUACUCAACCUCCAUGUCCUCUGAGGCCCUGGGAAAAUAGACAGGUAGGACAUUAACUAUUUCACUGAUUACUAGCUUGCCAUGAUGUAAGCCAAAGGAAAGAGUAAGCUCCAAGGUAAAAGAGUUCACACAGAGAAAUCCUGCCAGCAACUCCUCUAUGGAAAUUGAGAUGGCUCAAGCUAAACGUGUGUUGGUUGCAUAUAGUGGAUGACUUCUUGCUAGUGCUCUGCAAAAGUGGCUGCUUUGUUAGCAAUGAGUGAUGCAACAGGCAGGCAGAGUUGUAGUGCUUCAGAGUUCUGUGUUUGUCCAGUAGAAGCUUGACCACUAGCUUGCAGUCCUGAGCUCCAGGUGUCACACCAAACUACAGCCUUCCUGAAACCUGACCCACUUUCUUCAAACAAACACACUCAGAUUGCCCUGGCAAAUUUUUUUUUUUCCCCCUUAGAGAUUUGGUGCACAAUUUUUCAGCAUUCCCUUUUAGGCCAUGACAUUUUAAAAGUUCACUUUUAGAUUAAGCUUCAGGGCAACAGUUACUUUCUCUGUAUGGUUAUAUAUGCUCACACAUAUAUAGUCAAUAGCAUAACUUGCUUUUCUCCCAAUAAUUUGUUCAUCACUGGAAGGAGAGAUCCCAAAGCUCAUACAAGCUGGUAGAAUGUUUUUUUGUAAUCUUUUAUAAUAAACUCCAUCUAAAUGUUUGCAGGAUCAAGGACAUAAAUGGCUCAUAUGAUGUAGCAAUGUCUGCUGUGAACUCUUUGAAGUUAACAAAGAAAAAUGGCAGUGCCAAUUCAAGUGCCAAUACUUUUGCCAGCUCUGAUUAAAGUAUAGUUCUACUCUGAAGUGACUUGGUAAAAAUGGCAUUCUUGGGUUCCACACUUGUAGGGUGACCAGAUGUCCCGAUUUUAUAGGGACAGUUCCGAUAUUCAAUACUUUUUCUUAUAUAGGCACCUAUUACCCCCCACUUUCUGUCCUGAUUUUUCACACUUUCUGUCUGGUCACCCUACACACUUGUGUCCCAAUCAUUUCCACAUCAGAUUUUCCUUCAUUUAGAAUAUUUUUUUUCUUAACUGGCAGCCCUCUGAAGGUCGGCUAAGAUCUGAAAAUCAGGCGGGGUACUCUCUGGCUCAGGUACCACUCCCAUUAAUCAAGAUUCCUCAGGCCAAGUGACUUUGAUGUGGCUGCACAGACAUAAAGACAACAGGUGCAACUGGAACUAAGUAAAUCAGUGUGUGGCUACACAAACCAGAAAAAAAAAAAUCCAGCUGCACUUCAAAAGAUGUGUGCUCUGUGGCGCCCUCGGUGAUAAAUAAGGGAAAAUCUUACUUUGUUAUUACUACUAUCAUUGUUCUGAGUAAGCAGAAAGGUUAAAUACACAGAGGAUGGAGAUCUGCCAAAUGAGAAGAUGCUAUUUUUACAUAGUUACUUUGGGAAGCUGAAUCACACAUUAAACAAAGGACUAUUGGGUGCAUACAAUGAAUUCAAUUUAGGCCAAAAAAAUAUAACAUCACUUGACAUCAACAACAACAAAAAAAGCCAUCAGUAGUAACAAGUGUUAGAUAGUCCCCAGCCAGUACCCCAUUCCACCGUUGUAAAAUCUAUAAUCAAAGCAUCGCCAGAUCUGACCCGUACACACAGACUGACCUGUUCAGUCCACUGAAUACACCAAAUGCACACUUGUUUUGGCAAGAAACAUAUAUAUGCCUCACGGCAAUUUGUGUAAAGGUACCUACUGCUCUCGUUUGGUAGUAUGUUAGACUCACUUUGUCUUGGAGUAAAUGACUGCACAAAACGCAGGGCAAAGGAGGAUCAGAACCAUUAGCUCUGAGAGGUGGGAACUUCUUCCAUUUUCUCAGUGUUUUUUUCUCUGAUGCUAGUAAUGACAUUUUGAAUGGCAACAUUAUUAACUGUUACAAUGAUGAUCAUUUUAGGAGAAGCAGCCAGUGAGCCCAGCAUGUGAACAGCCUCGUUGAGAAUACCCCUGCUACCUGAUCUCUGAUAUUCAUGUACAUGUAUUCAUUCCUCUGCUCAUCACAAAAGCAUAGUUUGCUUGUCACAUUCCUUACCAAGAUCCUCCUUUAAAGGCUACUUUAGUAUUUCUAUAAAACCUGUUUCCCCAUUGUGACAUUCUAUACCCUGGGGGAGCAUACUGUAACCCCCAUAUUCCUCAUUUUCGUACGUUCAUGAUCUUACAUAUAAAGCAUGCCUUGUAAGGUAUAUGGGGAAAUGUUAUGAUCUGCUGAAAGUCAUUUAUCUAUUCACAUAUGGGUAUCAUUAAUGCAUAUGAAGUUAUGAGAAUUGUGUUGUAUGGUGGUCAUUAAAACACGCUGUAAGUUGGGGAAUCAGCCAGAUAUUAGCUUCCCAGAGGCAAGAGUAGGGAAAGUAACCAGCAUCCGGGUGGGGUGUCAAACAACCCAUCAAUAGCCGUUGUCCAGCAAGGGAGCUACAAUGAAAUGACUCACCUGCACGAGGCCACACCAGGGGAAUUGCUCAACCUUGCUUGGAGAGACUCAGCAAUGCCCCCCAGACAUGCCUGGACUUGUGCUCCCCAAGCACAUGGACUGAGGGUAUAAAACAGACAGAGUGGACACAUACUGGGCAAGAAGAAGAAGACAAGACUCCAACAGAGGAGACUGGCCCAGGUUUAAGGAACAAACAUGUAUAUUAAGGACUACAAUAUCCAGUGUGGUGAGAAAAACUGCUUAAUCUAGAUGUUGCCCAGUCUAAUAGGAUUGAGAGUUUAGACUGCAUGCUUAUAUUUUAUUUUAUUUUGGUAACCACUCUGACUUUUUGCCUAUCAUUUAAUAUCUAUCUUUGUAGUUAAUAAAUUUGUUUGUUUAUUCU